rnacentral:rRNA from 1 species
GAGUUUGAUCCUGGCUCAGGAUGAACGCUAGCGGCAGGCCUAACACAUGCAAGUCGAGGGGCAGCGGGAGUGCUUGCACUCGCCGGCGACCGGCGCACGGGUGCGGAACGCGUAUCGAAUCUGCCUCUAUCUGGGGGAUACCCCAUGGAAACGUGGAAUAAUACCCCAUAGUAUUACUUUAUCGCAUGAUUUAGUAAUUAAAGAAUUUCGGAUAGAGAUGACGAUGCGUAUCAUUAGCUAGUAGGUAAGGUAACGGCUUACCUAGGCAACGAUGAUUAGGGGCCCUGAGAGGGAGAUCCCCCACACUGGUACUGAGACACGGACCAGACUCCUACGGGAGGCAGCAGUGAGGAAUAUUGGACAAUGGUCGAAAGACUGAUCCAGCCAUGCCGCGUGCAGGAUGACCG